AUGGCCGCGCCGACCGUGCUGGCGCUCGCCCUGGCCGUCCUCCUCCUCCCGGCGGCGGCGGCGGCGGCGGGGCGCGCCCCGCCGGGCGCCAGCCCGCUCGUGACCACGUGCAACGAGGGCCCCUUCCCGGCGCACUGCGUCAAGGAGCUGGGCCCGCGCCUCCUCGACAUCCAGACCACGCUGGCGUCGGUCUCGCCGCGGGGCGCGCUCAUCGCCGGCGCGCCGGGCACGGUGGACUUCUCUUCGCUCGUGGCCGUGGCCAUGGAGGCGGCCACGGAGGCUGGCGCGGUGGCGUCCACCAUCUUCGAGGGCAAGCUCCCCGGGUUCAACGCCUCCGUGCCGGACUUCAAGGUCUGCCUCAGCAACUGCAGCGUCACCAUGAAGUCCGCCAUGAAGAAGCUCCACGGCGCCACCGCCGCCAUGAAGGUCCACGCCCACGUGGUCGCCAAGGUGCUCGCCGACCGGGCCAUCACCGACGUGUCGGCCUGCACGAUCAGCUGCAGGAACCUCACCGGCGACGUCAAGCUCAUCCUCGAGACCAGCCUCGUGGAGUUCCAGAAGAUGAUCAGGAUCGCCGUCAACUUCCUCACCAAGAUCGCGGCCAAGACUCCGCCCGGCCCUCUCCCUCCCCUCCCUCCCCCGGUGCGCCGCCGCUAG
rnacentral:rRNA from 1 species